ACUUCCAAACUGCAGUGGUG
rnacentral:misc_RNA from 1 species